GAAAAAGUACGCAAGAACUGCUAAUUCAUGCCCCCAUGCAUAAAAGCAUGGCUUUUUCA
rnacentral:tRNA from 1 species